GGCGGGGCUGCGAGCCCUGUACCCCAUUUCCGCCCAGUUCCUACUCCUAUGGGGCAGGGACUCACCCCGUGAGACCCAGCAACCCAGAGAGAGGCAGGGACUUGCCGAGGCCAUCCAGCGUGUCCCUGGUGCAGGUGCCUGUGAGGUGGGGGCUGGGGAGCGCUGUCAGCUGUUA